UACGUAGGGGGCAAGCGUUAUCCGGAAUUAUUGGGCGUAAAGAGUACGUAGGUGGUUACCUAAGCACGAGGUAUAAGGCAAUGGCUCAACCAUUGUUCGCCUUGUGAACUGGGCUACUUGAGUGCAGGAGAGGAAAGCGGAAUUCCUAGUGUAGCGGUGAAAUGCGUAGAUAUUAGGAGGAACACCAGUGGCGAAGGCGGCUUUCUGGACUGUAACUGACACUGAGGUACGAAAGCGUGGGGAGCAAACAGG
rnacentral:rRNA from 1 species